rnacentral:rRNA from 1 species
UACGGGGGGGAGCAAGCGUUGUUCGGAUUUACUGGGCGUAAAGGGCGCGUAGGCGGCCACCGCAAGUCGACUGUGAAAUCUCCGGGCUUAACCCGGAAAGGUCAGCCGAUACUGCGGGGCUAGAGUGCAGAAGGGGCAACUGGAAUUCUCGGUGUAGCGGUGAAAUGCGUAGAUAUCGGGAGGAACACCGGUGGCGAAGGCGGCGACCUGGGUCGACACUGACGCUGAGGCGCGAAAGCGUGGGGGAGCAAACAGG